GUCGAGAUGAUGGAAUGGUAGACAUGUCAGACUUAAAAUCUGGUGGGCAGUAAUGUUCGUGUGGGUUCGAUGCCCAUUCUCGAUAC
rnacentral:tRNA from 1 species